GGGGCGGUAGCUCAGUGGAUAGAGUGGAAGAUUGCAAUUAACCAUUGGUUAGAAAACAUUGCAAGCUAUCUUUAGGUCGCCGGUUCGAUCCCGGCCCGUCCCU